rnacentral:misc_RNA from 1 species
UCCGGUUUGUCACCGGCAGUCUCGCAUGAGUCCCCAGCUUUACCUGCUGGCAACGUGCGACGAGGGUUGCGCUCGUUGCGGGACUUAACCCAACAUCUCACGACACGAGCUGACGACAGCCAAGCACCACCUGUGUGUAGGCCCCGUAAGGGGAGGAAUCCAUCUCUGGAAGCCGUCCUACCAUGUCAAACGCUGGUAAGGUUCUGCGCGUUGCUUCGAAUUAAACCACAUCAUCCACCGCUUGUGCGGGUCCCCGUCAAUUCCUUUGAGUUUUAACCUUGCGGCCGUACUCCCCAGGCGGCUCACUUCACGCGUUAGCUACGGUACCAAGGAAUCGCUUCCCCAACACCUAGUGAGCAUCGUUUAGGGCGUGGACUAC